rfam:Synechococcus sp. WH 8102 complete genome.
CCGAAAGUGAGGAAAAAAUCUCACGGGUUGGAAACAAGGACACAACCCCGUGCGGUUUCGGGA